UACGGAGGGGGCUAGCGUUGUUCGGAAUUACUGGGCGUAAAGCGCGCGUAGGCGGUUUUUCAAGUCAGGGGUGAAAGCCCGGAGCUCAACUCCGGAAUUGCCCUUGAAACUGGAUGACUUGAGUCUUGGAGAGGCGAGUGGAAUUCCGAGUGUAGAGGUGAAAUUCGUAGAUAUUCGGAAGAACACCAGUGGCGAAGGCGACUCGCUGGACAAGUACUGACGCUGAGGUGCGAAAGCGUGGGGAGCAAAC
rnacentral:rRNA from 1 species